rnacentral:rRNA from 1 species
AUUGGACGCUGGCGGAAUGCUUUACACAUGCAAGUCGAACGGCAGCACGGACUUCGGUCUGGUGGCGAGUGGCGAACGGGUGAGUAAUGUAUCGGAACGUGCCCAGUCGUGGGGGAUAACGUAGUGAAAAUUACGCUAAUACCGCAUACGAUCUAUGGAUGAAAGCGGGGGAUCGCAAGACCUCGCGCGAUUGGAGCGGCCGAUAUCAGAUUAGGUAGUUGGUGGGGUAAAGGCCCACCAAGCCAACGAUCCGUAGCUGGUCUGAGAGGACGACCAGCCACACUGGAACUGAGACACGGUCCAGACUACUACGGGAGGCAGCAGUGGGGAAUUUUGGACAAUGGGCGAAAGCCUGAUCCAGCCAUUCCGCGUGCAGGAUGAAGGCCCUCGGGUUGUAAACUGCUUUUGUACAGAACGAAAAGGUUUCUACUAAUACUAGGAGCUCAUGACGGUACUGUAAGAAUAAGCACCGGCUAACUACGUGCCAGCAGCCGCGGUAA